rnacentral:misc_RNA from 1 species
GGUUAGUAAAUUUAUAUUGUGUUAAAGAUGGUCCCCGAAAGGUAAUUUUCUAUUGGACAAUUACGCAAAGGAAGAAGACCAGGUGGCCAGGACAUUUUUCGUUAUGUAUUGGCAGCAAUGAUCCAUAGUUACCGCAUCCAAUCUCGUCAGAUCCGUCAGCACAGUGGGUUACAUUGUCGCACCUCUCGAUUUCAGCUAUGCAUUCACCACUGGCACAUUUCCACUCGGCAGGUGUGCAGACCCCUUGACACAAGUAACAGCUCAACAACAAGCUCUAAAGAAGCUUCAACAAUGGGAUGUUUAGGGAAUUGCAGCGCCAUUGACAUAAUCACUAGGGUGAUCACUUCUAGUGACUACUCAUCAUGGUUUAGUCAUGACCAGCUGAGGCAGGCAAAAAGGAUCUUGACCAAGUUCUAGUCUCUUGCUAUACGGGAUACUGAUCUUUGAGACAAGAUACGGUUGAAGAGCUAGGGGGAAAUAAACCUGGAAAUAAAGACGGCUCCUUAGCCAGUUUUACUCUUGCUUAUAUCAAGCUAAUGAAUUAAUUAGCGGUGAGGCCACGGCUGACCAGCAUCGUCAUCCUCGUUGUCAAGUGCUAAGCAAACGAGAAAUACGCGUCUACCCAGCCAGAUUUUUACCUACAUUAAGAGGAAGGCCCCCACAGUGUAUUCGUAAACACGUUUCUUUGAGGUGUAUUCAGACAGAGGAUGGAGGAAGAGGAGUCGAAUAUAAUCGAAUGCAGAUGGUAUCUUUUCUUGCAUAUUUCCGAUGAUGCAACAAGAUUAAUUCACGUUCGUUUAUCGCACUAUUGAGCAAGGAAUUUCGUGCAAAGAGAAUGAAAAAAAAGAUGAAGAGGGUGAAAACAGCGUACUGAUAGGUGGAGUGGCGUGUGUAAUGGUUUCGUUAGCGCAAUCUUCGUCGCUCUGAUCCGGACAAUCCGGGUGGCCGUCGCACCUGUAGACACCCUCGAUGCACUUGUUCCCGGUGACGCAUUUGAACUGG